AUUUAAAAAACAAACAAAAAAGAAACAAAAAAAACCAACAGCAUAAAAUAAUGGAUUUCAAGACUGAACUUGAUGGACUUACGUCUUUUUCAACCUAGACAGCUAUGUAACUAUUCAUAUUGCAACUAAACUAGGAAUUCUCUAGGAAAUACCAAUAAAACUCACUUUAUAAAAAAUAUGUUUUAUUUUGUAGUAGAAUGGUCGGUAGUUAUUAGUUAAUAUACAAUGAGGGAAAAAAAGUAUUUG